rnacentral:lncRNA from 1 species
GGAACGAAUGAUAGAAGGGAAUGUCAGGUAGGCUUGCGAAGUUAUGAGAAAGAUAUUUCUCCUCCUAGAGGGGGAAAGAUUGACUUACAUGAGGAAGUGAGGGGACUCAUAUACAGAUUAACAACUCAUGCAUUCCUGCUCAAGGAAGGGAACCAUUUCCAUCUAUCUAAGUAUUUGCAAUGGAAGGAGAAGGGGGUUGCUAAGGUCCAUUCCCG